GCGGUUUCAGCUCAAUAGAGUGAGCAGCACACGCCUCAUCAGACUGUCCGCGGCUUCCACUCCCAUAUCGUAUGAGAAACACGGUUUGAAGUUCUGCUUGUUCUCCUGAGGGACACGUCAAAGACGUCUGCGCUCUGUGAUCUGUGUAUUGGUUUUAAGUACCUGUAGAAGGUCCAACUUGACACACAACUUGAAUCCAACCACACUGAACACUGACUCCAGGGACAGACGAGCCUGAAGGACACAGCUGUGAUGACCAUGUUCUGUCUCUUAUGGCAAAGCAGAAAUAUUAAACACUGGGUUGACCAGCAUAAAGCUGCAGAUCUCCACCAUGUUGCAACUGAGGACAUCAGGAGCUGCAUUAAUGAGGAGCAGAAGCGCACUGUUAUGAAUGUUUUGUGUUGUGUAUGAAGCACCACAUAUUUCAGAUAGAACCAAUGUACUGGGGUCUGGGUUUGUAUCCUAAUGGUUAAAUGCACAUACUUUAAAUCGCUUUUGAUAAAACGUGAGAAAGAAAUACAACAUUGUAUACAUAGAUAAAAUGUCUUU